GAUGAACGCUGGCGGCGUGCCUAAUACAUGCAAGUCGAGCGAACAGACGAGGAGCUUGCUCCUCUGACGUUAGCGGAGGACGGGUGAGUAACACGUGGAUAACCCACCUAUAAGACUGGGAUAACUUCGGGAAACCGGAGCUAAUACCGGAUAAUAUAUUGAACCGCAUGGUUCAAUAGUGAAAGACGGUUUUGCUGUCACUUAUAGAUGGAUUCGCGCCGCAUUAGCUAGUUGGUAAGGUAACGGCUUACCAAGGCAACGAUGCGUAGCCGACCUGAGAGGGUGAUCGGCCACACGGGAGCUGAGACACGGUCCAGGCUCCUACGGGAGGCAGCAGUAGGGAAUCGUCCGCAGUGGGCGAAAGCCUGACGGAGCGACGCCGCGUGAGUGAUGAAGGUCUUCGGAUCGUAAAACUCUGUUAUUGGGGAAGAACAAAUGUGUAAGUAACUAUGCACGUCUUGACGGUACCGAAUCAGAAAGCCACGGCUAACUACGUG
rnacentral:rRNA from 1 species